rnacentral:rRNA from 1 species
UACGAAGGGGGCUAGCGUUGUUCGGAAUUACUGGGCGUAAAGCGUGCGCAGGCGGUCUCUCAAGUCAGGGGUGAAAGCCCAGAGCUCAACUCUGGAAUUGCCUUUGAAACUGUGAGGCUUGAGUGCGGGAGAGGUGAGUGGAAUUCCCAGUGUAGAGGUGAAAUUCGUAGAUAUUGGGAAGAACACCGGUGGCGAAGGCGGCUCACUGGCCCGUUUCUGACGCUCAUGCACGAUAGCGUGGGGAU